rnacentral:rRNA from 1 species
UCAACCUGGUUGAUCCUGCCAGUAGUCAUAUGCUUGUGUUAAAGAUUAAGCCAUGCAUGCCUAAGUAUAAACUUACAUAUGGUAAAACUGCGGACGGCUCCAUAGAUCAGUAAUUGUUCGUUUGGUGAACAAAGUACUUGGAUAACCCUGUUAAUUGUAGAGCUAAUACAUGCACCGACGACCCGAUUGGGAGA